UACGUAAGCAGCGAGCGUUGUUCGGAGUUACUGGGCGUAAAGGGUGUGUAGGCGGUUGUUUAAGUCUGGUGUGAAAUCUCCCGGCUCAACCGGGAGGGUGCGCCGAAUACUGAAUGACUUGGAGUUCGGGAGAGGGAAGCGGAAUUCCGGGUGUAGCGGUGAAAUGCGUAGAUAUCCGGAGGAACACCAGUGGCGAAGGCGGCUUCCUGGACCGACACUGACGCUGAGGCGCGAAAGCUAGGGGAGCAAACGGGG
rnacentral:rRNA from 1 species